CCCUAAUCCGUUCUUGUCUUAGAACAACUUUGAUUAACGUUUUUGAUCCACUUCAAAUGUUGACUACUGUAUAUUAAAUAUAUUUUAUAAA